rnacentral:lncRNA from 1 species
CAAACAUGAAUUCAAAUACGCGUGCAACAUGGGUGUAUUGAAAAAAAACCAAUGCAACGUGUUUGGUAUACCGACCUAUACAAUAACUGGAUGCACAAACUAUAGAAUAAAAAGGAGAAAAGAGAGAGUUACCUUUCUGCUGUUGGCAGCUAUCUUGAGUACCUAUUUGUACGAAACACUCUUUAGUGACUUUACUUUUUCAUUAAUAAGUUAAUGUAAAUUAUUGGUGCAUACAAGUCGAGGAUUACCAUGUCUUGUGUCACAUUUGGCUGCAAAACAAGUAUGCUUCUGGCAAUUUAAUUUCAUAUAAUCGUUUUUCGACCCAGGAUCCAAAGAGGUGCAGACAAUGGGCAAGGAAUCUCAAGCGAGAUGACUUUAUUCCCAAAAAGUUUUUGAUAAUUUGUUCGGAACAUUUUACUCCGGAAUCCUUCAAUCGGACUCUGGACGUUGUAAGGCUGAGAGAAAACGUUGUGCCUACUCUAUUCAAAGCAUUCCCGCCUCGCCUUUGAGAAGAAGUUGCAAGAACACUUCGAAAACGCAAGACUCUUAAAACGAUGUCCUCAUCACCCCCUAAAAAAGUCAAGCCAUCUUCUGGACUCGAGAUAGAUCUUUCCCACUUUGAGGCUACGGAAAAUGUGCAAUUGGAUCAUUCCUAUUCUCUCUCAUCAGCACAAGUCAUUAAAGAGAAGCUCUAAUGGCAAACGAAUAUGAUUUCUGAGCUUGCAGACCGUUCUAAAAAAAUACAGAUGUCAACGGAAUACAAUCUCCAAGAAGUUGGGCAACUUGGUUGAUGUUCUAAAAGACCUGAGGUUCAAGAGAAUGCUAUCAGAAGAGGCUUUAUCUAUCCUUGAUACAAUGUCUGGCGUUCCUAAAAACCUUUUAAAGAGAAUGAAAAUCGGAAGUGGUAUAAAGGGAAGCUGCAGUAGCUACUCACCUGAGCUCCGAGCAUUUGCUUUGACAUUGUCAUUCUACUCGACAAAAGCAUAUAGUUAUGCAAGAAUACCUUUGACUUAUACCUACCUAGUCUCAGUACCAUUCGAAACUGGUAUUCGAAUUUGGAUUGUAAUACGGUUUUUACUCAAUCUUCCUUUUAUAUUCUUAAAUCGAAGGCCAAUAAAGCUCUCGAAAAUACAUACCAUUGUGUAAAAUUAGUUAGAUAUACGUUUGCAUCUAUCAAAGUUAUGGUGGAUAAAGAUGGUAGAAGGGUCGAAUGGAGCUUUGUCGAAGAGUUGGAAAAACUUCAAAUCAUCUGAAGGACUACGGGCUGGAAAUAAACUUAGAAAAGGGCUACUCCUCUUCUCAACUCGUCUGUAGCAGAUGCAAUAAAAUUUUACGAUAAAUACCUUCAAUUGAUAGAAUUCAAAAAUUCUGAAGGAACUCUUGACUUUAUUAAAAGAUUUGAUCGACUAUUUUGUUUCCCCAACAGCCAAAAUCAUUUGGCCAAAAGAUUCAUAUCUCCUCUUACUAUUGGGAAUGAAGUUUUUUAGAAAGCAUUUAUUGAAGAAAUACUAUCGUAUAUUAACUAAUUGAAGGAUGAAUCUGGCAAUCCUUUGGUCAAAACGAAGGAAAAAACAGCUUGAUGAAGUAUCUUUUAACAUACCUAUCUCAGAUAGGUAUCUAUCAGGAGCCAACCGGGUACCUGGUUUGGUUAGGCCCUGUGACAGGCGCUGUUUUAUUGGUUCGGUUCGUUCCGGUAUUUAAAGUAAAUAUUGUUUCGUUUUUAUAAUACCCGGUACGGUAGGCUCAUCCUAUUUGUACAUAUUAAUUUCACUUUAAACCCUAUUUAUUCCUAAUUAUUUUUCAGGAUCAUAUCGGAUUAUUAUUUUUGCUAUACGAUCACAUUUUGGGAAUAAUAAUAAGCCAACUUGUGUUUUCCUCUAUUUAUAAGCAGCUAUUAGUCAGACAUCAGUUUUCCGACAGCAGAGGCAAUUGCAUAAGACUCGAUGAUACUGUUGCACUCUUCAAUACAUCAAAGAACAAGAGGACAGAAUAAGAAGUCAUAUCAUACCUGAAUGGUGAAGAUUUAUCCCUGAUUAAGAAAUAUGGCCUGGAAGAAAAACAUUUACUUUUCCAAGACCACGACUAUUGCGAUGUGCCUACUUUUGUGCAAAGCCUGCCAGAAAUCAUGGAAUGCGUGGUUACUUACAUUAGUGGAUAUGUAGUAAGGUCAAUUUCCAAGUACUUAGUAUGCCCUGAGUGCUUAGGAGCUCUUUCUGUCAUAAUCCAUGUAACUACUGCAAUUCUGUAAUUGCAAGAAAAUCCAAUGGAGGUCUCCUUUAUUUAUCACAAAGUGUAUUGGAAAUAUGUAUAGAAACUGAAAAAUGUAUCUUGAGACUCAAAAUUCAAGGAGUUCUCGAGAUCAAACCUACUGUGACACAAAACAUUAUUACCAGCCGUGUUCUACAAAUACGCAAUUAUAAAUCCUAGAUAUUUAAGGAACUUGAAUAUCAUAGUCUUGGCAGCUCACCAUUAAAUAACCAUAUCCUUAAAUUACAAAAACGUAUUACCUUGACAUUCUAAAAUUAGGCUUCAUUAUGAAGCCAGCCUCAUUUUUGAGCAUUUUAAGAAAGAAUUUGUAGAGAAGUUUCUUUCAAAACAGAUUCUUUUUAAAAAUCAAUUAUUCAAAGAUCUUAAAUAUCGUGUGUAUAUUAUAUUUGUAUGUUCUAAAAGUAAAUAGUAGCAAAGAUUGUUGUAAUAAAAUGAUUCUAGUUUAUUCUAGGUUCUGAUACAACAUGACUUCUCAAAGAACACUGACUGUAUUCUAUAAAAUUUGUCAUCAAUAAGACGGGUAAGAUCACGGAGCAAGAUGUAAGUGAGUGUAAACGCUGAACGUUGAAAGUGUAAGAGUGCUUUAACUAAAAGAAGGAUUCCGAUUAUAGACAUUUACAGGCGACAUAGUACAUAAAUGAAUUUGGAUUAAAAGGUCAAGGAGAAGAACUUGAAUCCUAUCCUAUCUUAAGCCUUGUAAAGGUUCGAGAAUAUUGUUGUACCUACAAUGUUCGAAGUGAGAGAGAAGUCUACUAUAUAUGUUCAUAUCCAAAUUAUAGGUACCUAAGAUGGGUACCGAGAGCUGACGGUUGACUCUCUUUUUCUUUGCCUAAUGAGUAUCCAGUUAUUAUAUAAGUUGGUGGCUUGGUAAGAUAAUAAGCCCACUAAGUGUUGUGCUCCAGGGUGUAGAGAACGGGCUAUGACAACGAGCCACAACAGUCUGGUGUUACGAUCCAUCUGUGGCCAAACAAAGAGAUAAACCUCGGACUUUAUACCACCUGCCUGAGAGCCAUUCUAAGAGAAACACAUCUGAAGAAGACAGAUUAGGCCCCAUCCCAAUGUACAAAGCUGUGUUUUCUGUAUUUCAACGACUCUGAUUUCAUAUGUGCACUCUGGGAAGUUGGAUUUACGAUAGCGGCACUCUCAGUAGAUUACCAUACCACCAACCUCAAGUUCUACGAGAAACUGCUUUGUAAUGGUGAAUUGUAGACUUCCAUUCCUAAUCAUCAGGAAAAAACAAAGGAAAUUCACCUACUGUUUGACCCAGUGCACAACUUCAAAAACAUCUAGAACUGUUUCCAACGGGUAGAGGUGAUCGAGUCCCCAUCAACACUUGGAAGAUCCAAUACUCUCAGACCAAAUUUAGCCCACCUCAGGGAGAUUCAUUUAAAGGAGUCUCACUUCAAAGUCAAACAGGCCCACAAAUUGACCCUAUAAGCAUUGAACCCUACAAACCUGAAGAACACCAAUGGGAAAUUGGCUUAUCCUGUGUUUCACGGAUCACCGAUUGGAGCACUUAAGUACUACUCACAAAGAAGACAACAGACCGGAGUUUUAAGACACAACCAAGUUUUAAAAGUUUGUCAGAACUACGUGGAAUAUCCUAAAAGUCAAGACACCUGGAGUUGGCUACGAAAAGAGAGAUGAGCUUCGGGAACCAAUCUCUGAGAAGAACAAACUUGGCUUCCCUUUCAAUAGAAAUUUUUUCGACUUUCUCAUCGAUUGGCAAAACAGUAAAGCACCUGGCCUUACAGCAGAAACCUUCCUAGCAGCAAAGCAGACAUACCUUGCCGCAACAGAUCUGUCUGAGUAUCUUCUGCUAAAUGAAGACUUCUCCUAUGUACUCCUCGGCAUUUUCCAGUCGGAUCUUACUUAUUUCGGAUUAUUUCGGUAAUUCAGGACCAAUAUCGUUCAAAGCCAUUUUUCAAACAUAAAAAAAUCAUUGAAUUAAAAGUACGAUUAAUAAAACUAAUGUAAAAGUGGUUAGUUUAUUAAAUAUGUUAGUUUAUUAAAUAUGUUUUUACUC